rnacentral:rRNA from 1 species
GACGAACGCUGGCGGCGUGCCUAAUACAUGCAAGUCGAGCGGAUGGAAGGAAGCUUGCUUCCUAAAGUCAGCGGCGGACGGGUGAGUAACACGUGGGCAACCUGCCCCUAAGAUCGGGAUAACUUCGGGAAACCGGAGCUAAUACCGGAUAUGAUUAUGUCUCACAUGAGACAUAAUGGAAAGACGGUUUCGGCUGUCACUUAGGGAUGGGCCCGCGGCGGAUUAGCUAGUUGGUGAGGUAACGGCUCACCAAGGCGACGAGGCGUAUCCGACCUGAGAGGGUGAUCGGCCACACUGGGACUGAGACACGGCCCAGACUCCUACGGGAGGCAGCAGUAGGGAAUCUUCCGCAAUGGACAAAAGUCUGACGGAGCAACGCCGCGUGAGUGAAGAAGGUUUUCGGAUCGUAAAACUCUGUUGUUAGGGAAGAACAAGUACCAUAGUAACUGAUGGUACCUUGACGGUACCUAACCAGAAAGCCACGGCUAACUACGUGCCAGCCGCCGCCGUAACAC